AACGAACGCUGGCGGCAGGCUUAACACAUGCAAGUCGAGCGCCCAGCAAGGGGAGCGGCAGACGGGUGAGUAACGCGUGGGAACAUACCCUUUGCUACGGAACAGUCCCGGGAAACUGGGUUUAAUACCGUAUACGCCCUUCGGGGGAAAGAUUUAUCGGCAAAGGAUUGGCCCGCGUUGGAUUAGGUAGUUGGUGGGGUAAAGGCCUACCAAGCCGACGAUCCAUAGCUGGUUUGAGAGGAUGAUCAGCAACACUGGGACUGAGACACGGCCCAGACUCCUACGGGAGGCAGCAGUGGGGAAUCUUAGACAAUGGGGGCAACCCUGAUCUAGCCAUGCCGCGUGAGUGAUGAAGGCCUUAGGGUUGUAAAGCUCUUUCAGCUGGGAAGAUAAUGACGGUACCAGCAGAAGAAGCCCCGGCUAACUCCGUGCCAGCAGCCGCAGUAAGAC
rnacentral:rRNA from 1 species